rnacentral:rRNA from 1 species
CCUACGGGAGGCAGCAGUGGGGAAUAUUGCACAAUGGGGGAAACCCUGAUGCAGCGACGCCGCGUGAGCGAAGAAGUAUUUCGGUAUGUAAAGCUCUAUCAGCAGGGAAGAAAAUGACGGUACCUGAGUAAGAAGCUCCGGCUAAAUACGUGCCAGCAGCCGCGGUAAUACGUAUGGAGCAAGCGUUAUCCGGAUUUACUGGGCGUAAAGGGAGCGUAGGCGGCCUGCCAAGUCUGAUGUGAAAUACCGGGGCUCAACCCCGGGGCUGCAUUGGAAACUGGCAGGCUGGAGUGUCGGAGAGGCAGGCGGAAUUCCUAGUGUAGCGGUGAAAUGCGUAGAUAUUAGGAGGAACACCAGUGGCGAAGGCGGCCUGCUGGACGGUGACUGACGCUGAGGCUCGAAAGCGUGGGGAGCAAACAGGAUUAGAUACCCUAGUAGUC